GACGAACGCUGGCGGCGUGCCUAAUACAUGCAAGUUGAGCGCUGAAGGUUGGUACUUGUACCAACUGGAUGAGCAGCGAACGGGUGAGUAACGCGUGGGGAAUCUGCCUUUGAGCGGGGGACAACAUUUGGAAACUAAUGCUAAUACCGCAUAAAAACUUUAAACACAAGUUUUAAGUUUGAAAGAUGCAAUUGCAUCACUCAAAGAUGAUCCCGCGUUGUAUUAGCUAGUUGGUGAGGUAAAGGCUCACCAAGGCGAUGAUACAUAGCCGACCUGAGAGGGUGAUCGGCCACAUUGGGACUGAGACACGGCCCAAACUCCUACGGGAGGCAGCAGUAGGGAAUCUUCGGCAAUGGACGAAAGUCUGACCGAGCAACGCCGCGUGAGUGAAGAAGGGUUUCGGAUCGUAAAACUCUGUUGGUAGAGAAGAACGUUGGUGAGAGUGGAAAGCUCAUCAAGUGACGGUAACUACCCAGAAAGGGACGGCUAACUACGUG
rnacentral:rRNA from 1 species